AGCGCAGGCGGUUAUUUAAGUCAGGUGUGAAAGCCCCGAGCUCAACUUGGGACGUGCAUUUGAAACUGGAUAACUAGAGUGUGUCAGAGGGGGGUAGAAUUCCACGUGUAGCAGUGAAAUGCGUAGAGAUGUGGAGGAAUACCGAUGGCGAAGGCAGCCCCCUGGGAUAACACUGACGCUCAUGCUCGAAAGCGUGGUAGCAAACA
rnacentral:rRNA from 1 species